rnacentral:tRNA from 1 species
UCCCGAGUAGCUCAGUCGGUAGAGCAGCUGACUGUUAAUCAGCGGGUCGCAGGUUCGAGUCCUGCCUCGGGAG